GAGGGUAUAACUCAGUGGUUAGAGUGUGUGCCUAUCCUGCACAGAGGUCCUGGGUUCAAUCCCCAGUACUUCCA
rnacentral:tRNA from 1 species